rnacentral:rRNA from 1 species
AACGAACGCUGGCGGCAUGCCUAACACAUGCAAGUCGAACGAUUGCCUUCGGGUGAUAGUGGCUCACGGGUGCGUAACGCGUGGGAAUUUGCCCUUAGGUCCGGAAUAACAGCUGGAAACGGCUGCUAAUACCGGAUGAUAUCCCAAUAUCUAAUAUGUAUUGCCUGAGGAUGAGACCGCGUUGGGUUCGUUGGUUGGUGGGGUAAACGCCUACCAAACCGUCUAUCCCUAGCUGGUCUGAGAGGAUCAGCAGCCACACUGAGACUGAGACACGGCCCAGAAUACUACGCGAGGGGGCAGAGGGGGAUAUUGGAAAACGGCGGCAAGCAUGAUGCAGCUAUGCCGGGUGAGUGAUGAAGGCCCUAGAGAUGUAAAGCUCUUUUACCCGCGAAGAUAAUGACGGUACCCAAAGAAUAAGCCCCGGCUAACUCCGUG